rnacentral:rRNA from 1 species
CCUACGGGCGGCAGCAGUGAGGAAUAUUGGUCAAUGGUCGUGAGCCUGAACCAGCCAAGUAGCGUGCGGGAAGACGGCCCUAUGGAUUGUAAACCUCUUUUGUCGGGGGACAAAAUACGCCACGCGUGGCGUUCCGAGGGUACCCGAAGAAUAAGCACCGGCUAAUUCCGUGCCAGCAGCCGCGGUAAUACGGAAGGUGCGGGCGUUAUCCGGAUUUAUUGGGUUUAAAGGGUGCGGAGGCGGAAAGUUAAGCGUGCCGUGAAAUUGCGGGGCUCAACCAUGGCACGGCGGCGGGAACUGGCUUUCUUGAGUGAGCGGGACGUAUGCGGAAUGCGUGGUGUAGCGGUGAAAUGCUUAGAUAUCACGAAGAACUCCGAUUGCGAAGGCAGCAUACCGGCGCUCAACUGACGCUGAAGCACGAAGGUGUGGGUAUCGAACAGGAUUAGAUACCCGUGUAGUC